CGCAUUGCACGCCGGGAGACAAAAUGUCUCAAGAAGCCUUGAGAGGCGGGAUUUUGGAACCCGGGCGCUGACGAGCUUCCGCCAUUGGUGUGAUCGCGGACCUAGAAACUUGGUCCGUCCCAUACAGGUGUAGAAGUCGGAUUUGGAGAAUGCUGACGGGUGUCCGGUCAAGGUUAGGCCCCAGCCUGCCGAGUGCCUGCGAUUGCAGGCACGCGCCGCCACACCUGACUGGUCUUGGUGGAGACGGGGUUUCGCUGUGUUGGCCGGGCCGGUCUCCAGCCCCUGACCGCGAGUGAUCCGCCAGCCUUGGCCUCCCGAGGUGCCAGGAUUGCAGACGGAGUCUCGUUCACUCAGUGCUCAAUGGUGCCCAGACUGGAGUGCAGUGGCGUGAUCUCGGCUCGCUACGGCCUACACCUCCCAGCCGCCUGCCUUGGCCUCCCACGGUGCCGAGAUUGCAGCCUCUGCCCGGCCGCCACCCCGUCUGGGAAGUGAGGAGCGUCUCUGCCUGGCUGCCCAUCGUCUGGGAUGUGAGGAGCCUCUCUGCCUGGCUGCCCAGUCUGGAAAGUGAGGAGCGUCUGCGCCCGGCCGCCAUCCCAUCUAGGAAGUGAGGAGCGCCUCUUCCCAGCCGCCAUCACAUCUAGGAAGUGAGGAGCGUCUCUGCCCGGCCGCCCAUCGUCUGAGAUGUGGGGAGCGCCUCUGCCCCGCCGCCCCAUCUGGGAUGUGAGGAGUGCCUCUGCCCGGCCGAGACCCCGUCUGGGAGGUGA
rnacentral:lncRNA from 10 species